AUAAACCGGAGGAAGUGGGAUGACGUCAAGUCAGCAUGGCCUUUAUAUCCUGGGCUACACACACGCUACAAUGGGAAGGGACAAUAGGUUGCGAAGCCGCGAGGCGGAGCCAAUCCAAGCAAACUUCCCCCAGUUCAGAUUGCAGGCUGCAACCCGCCUGCAUGAAGUUGGAGUUGCUAGUAAACGCAGGUCAGCCAUACUGCGUUGAAUACGUUCCCGGGGCUU
rnacentral:rRNA from 1 species